rnacentral:lncRNA from 1 species
UUUUUUUUUUUUUUUUGGUAAACAUGUUAAAAUUGCAUUACCAGUUUUUGAGUUUGUGACAGAAGGUACAAAGGAUACUAGUAGCAGAAAAUACAAACACCGAAAUGAAACUACUAAACAACAAUAAAAUACAGUAAAGAAAAACACGAUUGAGGACGGACAUCGAAAGACGAAGGAGAGAGCACUCGAGAGAACUUGUGAGAGUUGCAAGAGUACGCAACAAGCAAGCUCAGAAACUCCAUAGUAAGGCAUCAGUUAUAAUAUGAGUCACGAGCCGGUAAUAUUGGCUUGCCCAGGCACUCGCCUCCAAAACAUAACCUCACCACGAAGCCCUUCCACCUGCAGAGAGCAAAGACACCAGCGAGAGCUCGGAGCUCGCAGCAGACGACAAUGGGGCCGCACCAAAGCGGCGAAAUCGACGAACCAGAGCCUGUCGAAGCCCCAGACACCAAUCACCACAAACAGCCACCUCUGCUCCUCCCUCCUGAAGAUCAAAGGUAACAGAUAACUCCAACAACCCGUAAGACCCUCACCGGAACCACCAACACCCCGACAACAAUCCCACAAUCGCUCUUAUUUGGGUAGACAAAUGGAUGAUAAACCCGCCACUUCCACCAGACCCUGCACGAUAAAAGGAGCUAACACCACAUGGCAAGAACCAAAGCACUAAAACCCUUACUGCAGAGAUGCUAGCGACACUCGCUGUCACCGGGAAUGAAGACGAAGGUAGACUACAACAACCUAAGACCACAAUGACCCGCACGAGCGACAGACACUGAGAACCAGAGCCUGACCAAAAAUCGAACAAAGAAGCUCAAUCUAAUCAGUUCACCAGACCGCCACCUCCGGCUAAGAUGAGAAGAAGAGCUCAGCACUCCUCAUAAGCUUGACAGCAACACCUUCUAGCCACAAGGAGCCCUGCAACCACGUACAAGGAAAAACCACUAACAGAGAGUCACCACCACCGCCAGGGAGCUCGCUUGAGACCCAAAAUCGACUCUUGAUACAUCAGUUUCUCAUUGGUAGUAAAAAACUACGAUGAAUCUGAAGUAGAGAUCUCAGGGACGAGAGAAGAGAGAGAUGAUUAGGAAGAGUUUCAUCCUAGAUUUUUUGGACAUAUGAGAUAUGACAAACUGAAAUGAUGUGAUCACGAUUUCUUUUAUUUAAGUUAUUCUGUUUACAGUUGUUUAAAUUUUGUAACCGCUUUGUCUAAACAUGAUUACCAAUCGGACAUGUACUUUCGACUAAUAUUUAUUUUGUUGCAUGUAACGGCUACAAAUGUUAGGUCCAGGUUCAACAUGUCUUCUUUUUCAUCAAGUUCAACAUGUCAUACGUUUUAAUCUGGUAACUGUUUCCAAAUAAAAAGAAUAUUUAAAAAUUUCUUAAGCUUCACUAUAUAUCUAUAAAUUAAUAUCUAUAUAAAUUAAUAAAAUUUCAAAAGUCUAACAUUAUUAAUUUAUAGA